AACGCUGUCAAUAAAUUUUUUUCGAAAGAAAAAAUCUGUUCUUAUCAGUUUAAUAUCUGAUACGUGCCCUACCCGGGCACUAUAUAUUAAAUUGAUUUUUGCAGCUGGGAGAUGGGUUAGGGGCUUGCUCCACCCACUCCACGCAUCGACCUGGUAUUGCAGUACCUCCGGGAACGGUGCACUCAUU
rfam:Danio rerio chromosome 2, GRCz11 reference primary assembly.